ACCCCUUCUUUGAGGCUUACAUGGAUAUUCUCUAAUCCGUAAGAUAGAAAUAAAUGACACCUACUUUGUGGAGGAGUUGAAAAAAGUUGCAAAUGGAUUUUUGGAGCUGGGAGUUGGAAUGGGAGCUUGCUCCGUCCACUCCACGCAUCGACCUGGUAUUGCAGUACUUCCAGGAACGGUGCACCCAAA